rnacentral:tRNA from 1 species
UGGUUCAAGUCCAGGAUGGCCCAGCUGCGCCAGGGAAAAGAAGGGCGAGGUCUCUGGUUCAAGUCCAGGAUGGCCCA